GUAGGGGGCAAGCGUUGUCCGGAUUUAUUGGGCGUAAAGAGCGUGUAGGCGGCCAGGUAGGUGGGUUGUGAAAACUGGAGGCUCAACCUUCAGACGUCGACCCAAACCCCCUGGCUAGAGUCCGGAAGAGGAGAGUGGAAUUCCUGGUGUAGCGGUGAAAUGCGCAGAUAUCAGGAAGAACACCCGUGGCGAAGGCGGCUCUCUGGGACGGUACUGACGCUGAGACGCGGAAGCGUGGGGAGCGAACAGGAUUAGAUACCCUGGUAGUCCACGCCGUAAACUAUGAGAGCUAGCCGUUGGAGGGUUUACCCUUCAGUGGCGCAGCUAACGCAUUAAGCUCUCCGCCUGGGGAGUACGGUCGCAAGAUUA
rnacentral:rRNA from 1 species